AGUGAACGCUGGCGGUAGGCCUAACACAUGCAAGUCGAACGGCAGCACAGUAAGAGCUUGCUCUUACGGGUGGCGAGUGGCGGACGGGUGAGGAAUACAUCGGAAUCUACUUUUUCGUGGGGGAUAACGUAGGGAAACUUACGCUAAUACCGCAUACGACCUACGGGUGAAAGCAGGGGAUCUUCGGACCUUGCGCGAUUGAAUGAGCCGAUGUCGGAUUAGCUAGUUGGCGGGGUAAAGGCCCACCAAGGCGACGAUCCGUAGCUGGUCUGAGAGGAUGAUCAGCCACACUGGAACUGAGACACGGUCCAGACUCCUACGGGAGGCAGCAGUGGGGAAUAUUGGACAAUGGGCGCAAGCCUGAUCCAGCCAUACCGCGUGGGUGGAGAAGGCCUUCGGGUUGUAAAGCCCUUUUGUUGGGAAAGAAAAGCAGUAGGUUAAUACCCCGCUGUUCUGACGGUACCCAAAGAAUAAGCACCGGCUAACUUCGU
rnacentral:rRNA from 1 species